AACGAACUCUUCGGAGUUAGUGGCGCACGGGUGCGUAACGCGUGGGAAUCUGCCCUUGGGUACGGAAUAACUCAGAGAAAUUUGUGCUAAUACCGUAUAAUGACUUCGGUCCAAAGAUUUAUCGCCCAAGGAUGAGCCCGCGUAAGAUUAGCUAGUUGGUGGGGUAAAAGCCUACCAAGGCGACGAUCUUUAGCUGGUCUGAGAGGAUGAUCAGCCACACUGGGACUGAGACACGGCCCAGACUCCUACGGGAGGCAGCAGUGGGGAAUAUUGGACAAUGGGCGAAAGCCUGAUCCAGCAAUGCCGCGUGAGUGAUGAAGGCCCUAGGGUUGUAAAGCUCUUUUACCCGGGAUGAUAAUGACAGUACCGGGAGAAUAAGCUCCGGCUAACUUCGUGCCAGCAGCCGCGGUAAUACGAGGGGAGCUAGCGUUGUUCGGAAUUACUGGGCGUAAAGCGCGCGUAGGCGGCUUUUUAAGUCAGAGGUGAAAGCCCGGGCUCAACCCCGGAAUUGCCUUUGAAACUGGAAGCUAGAAUCUUGGAGAGGUCAGUGGAAUUCCGAGUGUAGAGGUGAA
rnacentral:rRNA from 1 species